AUGGAACAAUGUAGGCAAGGGAAGUCGGCAAAACGGAUCCGUAACUUUGGGAAAAGGAUUGGCUCUGAGGACUGGGCUCGGGGGUCCCGGCCCCGAACCCGUCGGCUGUCGGCGGAUUGCUCGAGCUGCUCACGCGGCGAGAGCGGGUCGCCGCGUGCCGGCCGGGGGACGGACCGGGAAUCGCCCCUUCGGGGGCUUUCCCCGAGCAUGAAACAGUCGACUCAGAACUGGUACGGACAAGGGGAAUCCGUCUGUUUAAUUAAAACAAAGCAUUGCGAUGGUCCUCGCGGAUGCUGA
rnacentral:rRNA from 1 species